ACAGUCUGGCUGUGACAUAUGUCACCUCACUGACUGCUAGGGUUGAUUUGGCUGGUCCAGCUGGCUAGGCAGAUGUCCCCCUCCUU
rnacentral:snRNA from 1 species